ACUCCUUACUGACCGAUAGUGAACCAGUACCGUGAGGGAAAGGUGAAAAGCACCCCGACGAGGGGAGUGAAACAGUACCUGAAACCGAACGCCUACAAACAGUUGGAGGGACCUUGCGUCCUGACAGCGUACCUUUUGUAUAAUGGGUCAUCGACUUGGUCUCACGAGCAAGCUUAAGCCGUUAGGUGUAGGCGUAGCGAAAGCGAGUCUUAAUAGGGCGUUGAGUUCGUGGGAUCAGACCCGAAACCGAGUGAUCUAGGCAUGGCCAGGUUGAAGAUAAGGUAACACUUAUUGGAGGACCGAACCCACAUCUGUUGAAAAAGAUCGGGAUGAGCUGUGCCUAGGGGUGAAAGGCCAAUCAAACUCGGAGAUAGCUGGUUCUCUGCGAAAUCUAUUUAGGUAGAGCGUCGACCGAAUACCCUCGGGGGUAGAGCACUGGAUGGGUAAUGGGGCCCCACAGGCUUACUGAUCCUAACCAAACUCCGAAUACCGAGGAGUACUAGUCGGCAGACACACGGCGAAUGCUAACGUCCGUCGUGAAGAGGGAAACAACCCUAACCUCCAGCUAAGGCCCCUAAUUCAUGGCUAAGUGGGAAAGCAGGUGAGACGACCAAAACAACCAGGAGGUUGGCUUAGAAGCAGCCAUCCUUUAAAGAUAGCGUAACAGCUCACUGGUCUAAAUAAGUUGUCUUGCGGCGAAGAUGUAACGGGGCUCAAGCCAUGAGCCGAAGCUGAGGAUGCAUUUAUUGCAUGGUAGCAGAGCGUAGUGUGACAUAGUUCCAUGUGUCCUUACCUACACUUGUUCGUUUGGUUUACCCCAACCGGACCGUAGGAUUGGACACAAGGAGCUUUCUGUGAAGCUGGCGCGUGAGCGAUCCGGUGGAGAGAUCACUAGUGAGAAUGAUGACAUGAGUAGCGACAAAGAGUGUGAGAGACACUCUCGCCGAAAGUCCAAGGGUUCCUGCUUAAAGCUAAUCUGAGCAGGGUAAGCCGACCCCUAAGGCGAGGCCGAAAGGCGUAGUCGAUGGGAACCAGGUUAAUAUUCCUGGGCCAGAUGGAAGUGACGGAUCUCGAGGGUAGUUCAUCCUUAUCGGAUUGAAUGGGCUGCUUAGAGGUCCCUGGAAAUAGCUCCAUCGCUAGAUCGUACCCUAAACCGACACAGGUGGACAGGUAGAGAAUACCAAGGCGCUUGAGAGAACUAUGUUGAAGGAACUCGGCAAAAUACCUCCGUAAGUUCGCGAGAAGGAGGCCCGGUUUCUAGGCAACUAGAGGCUGGGGGCACAAACCAGGGGGUGGCGACUGUUUAUUAAAAACACAGGGCUCUGCGAAGUCGCAAGACGACGUAUAGGGUCUGACGCCUGCCCGGUGCCUGAAGGUUAAAAGGAGGGGUGAGAGCUCUGAAUUGAAGCCCAGGUAAACGGCGGCCGUAACUAUAACGGUCCUAAGGUAGCGAAAUUCCUUGUCGGGUAAGUUCCGACCUGCACGAAUGGCGUAACGACUUCCCCGCUGUCUCCAACAUAGACUCAGCGAAAUUGAAUUACCGGUCAAGAUGCCGGUUACCCGCGGUUAGACGGAAAGACCCCGUGCACCUUUACUACAGCUUCACACUGGCAUUAGGCCGAACAUGUGCAGGAUAGGUGGUGGGCUUUGAAACCGAGACGCCAGUCUCGGUGGAGCCUCCCUUGAGAUACCACCCUUGUUCUGCUUGAUGUCUAACCGCGGACCGUUAUCCGGUUCCGGGACCCUGUGUGGCGGGUAGUUUGACUGGGGCGGUCGCCUCCUAAAUCGUAACGGAGGCGCGCGAAGGUUGGCUCAGAGCGGUCGGAAAUCGCUCGUUGAGUGCAAUGGCAGAAGCCAGCCUGACUGCGAGACUGACAAGUCGAGCAGAGUCGAAAGACGGCCAUAGUGAUCCGGUGGUCCCAAGUGGGAGGGCCAUCGCUCAACGGAUAAAAGGUACGCCGGGGAUAACAGGCUGAUACUGCCCAAGAGUCCAUAUCGACGGCAGUGUUUGGCACCUCGAUGUCGGCUCAUCUCAUCCUGGGGCUGGAGCAGGUCCCAAGGGUACGGCUGUUCGCCGUUUAAAGAGGUACGUGAGCUGGGUUUAGAACGUCGUGAGACAGUUCGGUCCCUAUCUUCCGUGGGUGUAGGAUACUUGAGAGGAGUUGCCCCUAGUACGAGAGGACCGGGGUGAACGAUCCACUGGUGGACCAGUUGUUAUGCCAAUAGCAGUGCUGGGUAGCUAUGAUCGGACAGGAUAACCGCUGAAGGCAUCUAAGCGGGAAGCCCCCCUCAAAACAAGGUAUCCCUGAGAGCCGAGGUAGACCACCUCGUCGAUAGGCCAGAGAUGUAAGCGUGGUAACACGUUCAGUUGACUGGUACUAAUUGCUCGAUAGGCUUGAUUUGAUCCAG
rnacentral:rRNA from 1 species